UACGUAGGGGGCAAGCGUUGUCCGGAAUUAUUGGGCGUAAAGAGCGCGUAGGCGGUCCGGUAAGUCGGUUGUGAAAGUCGGGGGCUCAACCCUCGGAUGCCGAUCGAUACUGUCGGGCUAGAGUCCGGAAGAGGCGAGUGGAAUUCCUGGUGUAGCGGUGAAAUGCGCAGAUAUCAGGAGGAACACCAAUGGCGAAGGCAGCUCGCUGGGACGGUACUGACACUGAGACGCGAAAGCGUGGGUAGCAAACAGG
rnacentral:rRNA from 1 species